GGGGGCGUGCUACCAUGCAGUCGUGCGAUCGUCAACCAGAGAGAGCGGCGGACGGGUGAGUAACGCGUGGGUAACCUGCCCUGUACACACGGAUAACAUACCGAAAGGUAUACUAAUACGGGAUAACAUACAAAAGUCACAUGGCUUUUGUAUCAAAGCUCCGGCGGUACAGGAUGGACCCGCGUCUGAUUAUCUAGUUGGUAAGGUAAUGGCUUACCAAGGCAACCAUCAGUACCCCACCUGAGAGGGUGAUGGGCCCCCCUGGAACUAAGGCACGGUCAAAACUCCUACGGCAGGCACCUUUGGGAAAUAUUGCCCAAGGGGCCACACCAGGAUGCACAACCACCGCUUGACCAAUAAAGGCCUGGGGGCCUAAAGUUCUGGCAUUAAGCAAAAUUUUGACGGACCUUGAGGAAGGAACCCCGGGCAAC
rnacentral:rRNA from 1 species